UACGAAGGGGGCUAGCGUUGCUCGGAAUCACUGGGCGUAAAGGGUGCGUAGGCGGGUCUUUAAGUCAGGGGUGAAAUCCUGGAGCUCAACUCCAGAACUGCCUUUGAUACUGAAGAUCUUGAGGUCGGGAGAGGUGAGUGGAACUGCGAGUGUAGAGGUGAAAUUCGUAGAUAUUCGCAAGAACACCAGUGGCGAAGGCGGCUCACUGGCCCGAUACUGACGCUGAGGCACGAAAGCGUGGGGAGCAAACAGGG
rnacentral:rRNA from 1 species